GUCGGAUGUGAAAACCUGAGGCUCAACCUCAGGCCUGCAUUCGAUACGGGCAAACUAGAGUUUGGUAGGGGAGACUGGAAUUCCUGGUGUAGCGGUGGAAUGCGCAGAUAUCAGGAGGAACACCAAUGGCGAAGGCAGGUCUCUGGGCCAAUACUGACACUGAGGAGCGAAAGUCUGGGGAGCGAACAGGAUUAGAUACCCUGGUAGUCCAGACCGUAAACGGUGGGCACUAGUUGUGGGAACCUUCCACGGUUUCUGCGACGCAGCUAACGCAUUAAGUGCCCCGCCUGGGGAGUACGAUCGCAAGAUUAAAACUCAAAGGAAUUGACGGGGCCCCGCACAAGCAGCGGAGCAUGCGGCUUAAUUCGACGCAACGCGAAGAACCUUACCAAGGCUUGACAUAUAGGGAAAAGUGGCAGAGAUGUCAUGUCCGCAAGGGCUCUAUACAGGUGGUGCAUGGUUGUCGUCAGCUCGUGUCGUGAGAUGUUUGGGUUAAGUCCCGCAACGAGCGCAACCCUCGUUCUGUGUUGCCAGCAUUUUAGUUGGGGACUCACAGGAGACUGCCGGGGGUUAAACUCGGAGGAAGGUGGGGAUGACGUCAAAUUCAUCAUGCCCCCUUUAUGUCUUUGGGCUGCACGCAUGCUACAAUGGCCGG
rnacentral:rRNA from 1 species